rnacentral:rRNA from 1 species
AAAACCGGAACGUGCUAAUACGCAUAUCGCGCAUCAGCUGCAAGGCAGAUGUGUGAAAGACUUCGGUCACCAAGGGACNNCGGCCCAUUAUUUAAUCCUAGUUGGUAAGGUAACGGCUUACCAAGGGUACGAUGGGUAGCUGGUCUGAGAGGAUGAUCAGCCACACUGGGACUGAGACACGGCCCAGACUCCUACGGGAGGCAGCAGUGGGGAAUAUUGCGCAAUGGACGAAAGUCUGACGCAGCCACGCCGCGUGAGUGAUGAAGGCCUUAGGGUUGUAAAGCUCUGUCGGGAGGGACGCAGGUAGUUUACUACUU